AACGUCGUUACGAUGGCCGUAACACAGCGUCAGUCAUUAAAACUGUGGCCGGGCACGUUGGGGUCCUAACUGGGUUACGUAUCCUCCUUUUCAGUUUUGUCUAAUGAACAGGAUUUAAUUGGUAAGCUUUUCAAGUUUGUCUUACAUGUGCAUUAGUGCCGUUCGUGUUUUUACGGAUAGGAUAGUUAGUAUUAAAGUAAUUGUACUGAAUUACAGUUUGUUUAUUUAUUUUACACAGUAAUAGAUGUUGAAGCCAGGUCCUUCUAUGUUCAGUGCAAGCGUUUGACCAUACUGACCUGUUCCGUGUUUGGUAGCUGAGGCAGGCCUUGAAUUUACCAUCGUCCUGCCCCUCCCAAGUAGCGGAUUACAAAUCUCAGCCACCAGGUCUAGCUCAGAUGAUGAAUUGUUAAUGCAGAAUAUAAGCCAUCAUCUUAAAAAUGUGUUACUAGAAGAUAAACAAUCCGGUUUUGUUCAUUUGUAUUCUGUAUGUGCUGUGGUUUAUGUCUGUGCUAUGUAUUUUAUAGGAAAGGCUAUUCUUAAUAGCUCUGUUAACAUUCCUGGGAUUAUUUUAAUGAAGAUUAUUUGAGACUUUUAAAGAAUACUUGGAUUACUUUGACUACCUCUCCUAACACGUAUCAUUGUUAUUACCCAUGUCGAAUCACGGGUUUAUGAACUAGCCGAGCCUCUGCUGAUGCUGAUCUUCAUGUUACAUCUUUAAUGUAAGGCCAUGGUCUUGAUCUUCAUGUUACAUCUUUAAUGUAAGGCCAUGGUCUUGAUCUUCAUCACAGCAUAAGUUAAGCAGUAACAAGAAGGAAGCAUGUCUGUGCACAGCAAAUGUUUUUCUCGUGAGUCACACUUCACACUGUUUGUUUGUAUUAUCUUUAAGGGUAGUAAGAGGUUUCUGUGUUAUAAAAUUUACCUUUGAGGUUCACAAAGACAAUAUUUCUUAAAACAACCUUUAGGUUUUAUCUCCAAGUAAGAAAAACAUUUUUAUGUAGUAUCACUUGAAAAGAUUUACUGUUUAUAAAGAUUCUAUGUUGAUAUUAUAUGCUAAAUAAUUCUGGUUAUUAUAUCUAAAUCUAUCUUACAUGAAACUUUUGACAUACUUAACAGAUAAGUGGCUUACAAGCCUUUUGAUACUACAUUAAAAUGAUUUGUGUAUUAUUACUUGGUGUGAUGUGUGUAUUUGGGUGCAGGCUUGUGGAGAUCACAGGCCAACUCUUGGGAGUUGGUUGUGUCCUCUCUGCCUUUCUGUAGGUCCUAGGUAUUGAGCGAGUGCUUUACCUGUGAGCCCUGCUGACCGACACUGCACUUCUGAACCUGAGACUAGGUGUGCAGCCCCUUAGAAACGCUUCUGUUUAUCUGCGUUUUGUCCUCUUUUUUUCUUCUGGAAUCAGUACAGGAAAGAUAAUUUUCAGCUAUACAUAUGUUUCUUUUUAACCUCUUUUUUUCACCUCUUGUGCCACCUUCUGGAAGAAGGAAACCAAGCAUUUUUUGAAUCAAAUUUGGUUUCCAGGUCCUGUUUUCUUUAGUUGGGAUUGGCAGUUUACUACUGUUGUAGCUGUUGAUUGGCUACUACUGUUGUAGCGUUUCCAUCCAGGCAGCUAAUCUGCUCUGUUCUCAGUGCUUUUCUCAGUGAGGUUUGCUCCUCACAUGACAUCGUAUGAUGUUGUUCCAAAUGAAUUCUGGCAUGGUUUACUGUGUUAGGACGGAUUCCCUGGAUUCUACUUUCUAUGGAGCCGUAAUGAUGGUAGGAAAUUCUAGUAGGUUUAGACAGUGGUCACUGCUUCAUUAUUCUUGACAUUUGACUCUGUCUUGCUAAUGGGCUCUGUAAACACAUGACAGUUGGCUCAAUGCUAGUUUCUGUAUAAUCAGUACAGGCUCAACUGUAAGUAUGUCAACGACACUGUUUCCUGUGCUCUCCCAUUGUGUUUUUCAGCAUUGGUACUUAAAUGUAGGUCCUCACAUAUGCUAGUGACAUGCUGUUUCUCUGUCUAAUGAAAUCCAGACUUUGUGUUUUGUCAAAUAGUUCUGGGUUUUCUUUCCUUUUAGUUUUUGCUGUACUGGGAAAUGAACCCAGGACCUCAUAUAUUUUAGGCAGGUGCUCUGUUAUUAAGCUAUAUUCUGACCAUUUAAUAGUUUUUAAUUAAAGAGUAUUCAUACCAUGUUUUGAUUGUGUUGUCCCCCAAGUCCUUCAAGAUCCCCCACCCUGCCCACCAACCUUUAUGUUCAUUAUGCCUUGUCUUUCCCUUCCUUCUCCCGUCCUUCCUCUCAAUCAAGUGAAAAAUCAACAAAUCAGUAAGAAAAAACAUAAUAAAACAAAACCAACAAAAAGUCACACCCCGAAAAAAAGAAAAAAACCCAGAAACAAAACAGAUCCUCUUGUGUGGGCCAAUUCCUCCUGGUAACAGGGCUUGUCCAGUAGUGUGGUUGGUUCACCCAGUGUCAUUCCACUGUAGAAAGCUGAGUUUCCAUUUCAACGCAAGGAUCAGUUGUAAAUAGCUUCUUGAUUAGGGGUGGGACUCCAUAUCCAGUUGCCCUCUCAGUGAUAGGACCCUGUCUGGGUUAUCCCUAUGUAGGGCUUGUGUAUGCUUCCUCAGUUUGCAAGUUCAUGUGAGUAUCAAUCCUGCUGUGUCUGCAGAACACUGUUUCCUUAGGUCAUCUAUCACCACUGGCUCUUAAGCAUUUCCACCUCCUCUUUGGAUAGUUCCCUGAUCCUUGAGGGAGGGGUUUUUACAGUUUCCACUGCUGUGAACAAAUGGGCGUUUAAUUAGGGCUGCCUUACAGGUUCAGGGGUUCAGUCUAUUAUCACCGUGCAUGGCAGCAUGCAGGCAGACACAGAGAAGGAGCUGAGGGUUCUACAUCUUGAUCUGAGGGAAGGCAGGGGAAGACUAGCAUCUGCAAGCAGCAAGGAACAUGAGCAUAGGAUCUCAAAGCCCACCCCCACAGUGACACACUUCCUCCAGCAAGGCCACACCUCCUAAUGGUGUCAUUUCCCACGGGCCAAGCAUAUUCCAACCACCACAACAUCCAUUCAAGACUAAGUGCUCCGAGACCUGCUCUGUGCAUUGUCUAGUUGUGAGUCUCUGUGCUGACUCCUAUCUGUUGUGAGAAGUUUCUCUGAUGAGUGUUGAGCACAGCACCGAAUCUGUGGGCAUCACCUUUUUUUUUUUAAAGAUUUAUUUAUUAUAUAUAAGCACAUAAAAUCUAUCUGUCUGUCUGUCUGUCUGUCUGUCUACCUAUCUAUCUAUCUAUAGCUGUCUUCAGACACACUAGAAGACGGCAUCAGCUCUCAGUACAGAUGGUUGUGAGCCACCAUGUGGUUGCUGGGAAUUGAACUCAGGACCUCUGGAAGAGCAGUCAGUGCUUUUAACCACUGAGCCAUCUCUCCAGCCUGGAUAUUACCUUUUAAUUAACUAAUUUUUUAGCUUAAUUUUUCCUUUUAUUGAGAAUAGAUUUUUUCCUUUCUAAUCUAUAUGGUUUGUGGUUUCUGCUUCCUCUAUCCUAGCUCCUCCCAGCCUCCCCGUCCAUUCAAAUCCACACCCUCUUACUGGCAAACAAACGGGUUUCUGUGGGACAGUAGUGAAGUGAAAUAGGAUAACAAACACUAGCAUCAGAAUAGGACAAAACAAAGAAACAAAAGGCAAGGAGCCCAGGAAGCAGACCCUUGUUUGCAUUCAGGAAUCCCCUCACAAACACUAAACUUAAAUCCCUCUUAUAACUGCAGAGGACCUGGAGCAGAUGCGUGCAGGCCCAGCACGCGGCCUCAGUCUCUCAGUGCACAGGACCUUUGUUCACUUUGGUCAGAGCCUCUGUCUCCGGCUCCCGUUCCCUCCCGCUCUCCCACUCUUUCUGCCUCUUCUCGCUGAUCCGAGGGGAAGGAUUGGAUGGAUGCAUCCUGUUUAAGGGCUGAGUGAUCCAAGAGCUCUCAUUCCUUGUACAAUAUCUGCCUGUGGGUUUCUGUAUUUUUUCCAAAUGCUGCAGGAGGAAACUUCUCUGGUGAUGGUUGAGCAAGGCACUGAUGUGUGAGUAGAGGAGAAUUCCUUCAGGAGUCAUUUAUUGCUGUAUUUUCCAUUCCUUUCCUUUCCUUUUUUUUUUUUUUUUUUAAGGCUAGUAUUUGGUUUUACUCUAGUUCUUGGUCACCCAUCAGUGUUGGGUGUGGGUUCCAGAUUGUGGAGUGGGCCUUAAGUCAGAUCAGUUCCUGGUUGGUUACUCCCACAAACUUUGUGUCACUGUUGCCUUCGCAUCUGUUGUAGGCAGGUCACCGUAAUGGGUCGACGGUUCGUGUCUUAGUUGAUGCUGAUUUUCUCCCUUUGGUUGCUUGAAGAGUAGUACCGUUCUGUACACUUAGGUGUGGCAGCUGCCCGUUCUGUGUGGGUACACCGAGUUGUAUGUGAACUGUCUUCACCAGUGAUGCCUCGCUGUUGCUGUGUGGACAGUGACCUGUAGUUUUGGCACCAGCCUGGUUUGUUUGAGGGAGGGAGGUGGAGUUAUAUGGGACUUCUUUGGCUACCAGCUCAAUUAGAUGCAUCUCAUUCUCAUCAUUGGGAUUUUCAUCUGGUGACGAGAGAUGGCUGGAUGGGGCUUUGACUCCCCAUUACUUGGCAGUUUCAUUUAGAUCUUCAUCAUAUAUGCAUAUAUUUUAGGAAGAUUGUACUGUGUUAGGUUUCUGUAAUACUCCUCGAAUGUCCCUUAAUUUUAGUGAUCUCCCUGUUCCUUCCCUCAUCCCCGUUCCCUCCCC